GUGGUGGUUAUAGUGUGGUGGUGGUUAUAGUGUGGUGGUGGUUAUAGUGUGGUGGUGGUUAUAGUGUGGUGGUGGUUAUAGUGUGGUAGGUUAUAGUGUGGUAGGUUAUAGUGUGGUAGGUUAUAGUGUGGUGGUGGUUAUAGUGUGGUAGGUUAUAGUGUGGUGGUGGUUAUAGUGUGGUAGGUUAUAGUGUGGUGGUGGUUAUAGUGUGGUGGUGGUUAUAGUGUGGUGGUGGUUAUAGUGUGGUGGUGGUUAUAGUGUGGUGGUGGUUAUAGUGUGGUGGUGGUUAUAGUGUGGUGGUGGUUAUAGUGUGGUAGGUUAUAGUGUGGUGCUGGUUAUAGUGUGGUGCUGGUUAUAGUGUGGUGGUGGUGUGGUGCUGGUUAUAGUGUGGUGCUGGUUAUAGUGUGGUGGUGGUUAUAGUGUGGUGGUAAUAGUGUGGUAGGUUAUAGUGUGGUGGUGGUUAUAGUGUGGUAGGUUAUAGUGUGGUAGGUUAUAGUGUGGUGGUGGUUAUAGUGUGGUAGGUUAUAGUGUGGUGGUGGUUAUAGUGUGGUAGGUUAUAGUGUGGUGGUGGUUAUAGUGUGGUGGUGGUUAUAGUGUGGUGGUGGUUAUAGUGUGGUGGUGGUUAUAGUGUGGUGGUGGUUAUAGUGUGGUGGUGGUUAUAGUGUGGGAGGUUAUAGUGUGGGAGGUUAUAGUGUGGGAGGUUAUAUAUAGUGUGGUGGUGGUUAUAGUGUGGUGGUGGUUAUAGUGUGGUGGUGGUUAUAGUGUGGUGGUGGUUAUAGUGUGGUGGUGGUUAUAGUGUGGUGGUGGUUAUAGUGUGGUAGGUUGUAGUGUAGUAGGUUAUAGUGUAGUAGGUUAUAGUGUAGUAGG